GCCGGGGUGGCGAAAUUGGUAGACGCAAGGGACUUAAAAUCCCUCGGAGGUUUCCUCCGUGCCGGUUCGAUUCCGGCCCUCGGCACCA
rnacentral:tRNA from 1 species